CUCUAAAUGAUUUUGAUUGUUGCUCAGAAAGCCUUUCAUAUAUUGUACGGUGGCUUUCUAGCAAUAAUCAUGACCACAAAAGAG
rfam:Acyrthosiphon pisum strain LSR1 Contig22145, whole genome shotgun sequence.